rnacentral:rRNA from 1 species
UCAAGCUAUUAAGGGCGUACGGUGGAUGCCUAGGCGCUAAGAGUCGAUGAAGGGCGCGGUUAACAGCGAAAUGCCACGGGGAGUCGUAAGCAGGCUUUGAUCCGUGGAUACCCGAAUGGGGCAACCCAACUGGAGUUAUGUCCGGUUAUCUUUAACUGAAUAAAUAGGUUAAAGAAGGCAACCCGGGGAACUGAAACAUCUAAGUACCCGGAGGAAGAGAAAGAAUAAUCGAUUCCCUGAGUAGCGGCGAGCGAAACGGGAACAGCCCAAACCGAAGUCUUCGGAUUUCGGGGUUGUAGGACCCACUAUUAAGAAUGAUUCCCUAGCUGAACAGAGCUGGAAAGCUCGGGCAGAGAAGGUAACACCCCUGUAAACGAAAGGGAAUCAAACUGUGAGGGUAUCCUGAGUACCGCGGGACACGUGAAACCCCGUGGGAAACAGGGAGGACCACCUCCCAAGGCUAAAUACUUCUUAGCGACCGAUAGCGAACAAGUACCGUGAGGGAAAGGUGAAAAGCACCUCGGAAGAGGAGUGAAAGAGAACCUGAAACCGUGCGCUUACAAGCAGUUAUAGUCCUAUGCUCAGUUUACUGAGAAAUGGAUGAUAGCGUGCCUUUUGUAGAAUGAACCGGCGAGUUAUGGUAUGUAGCGAGGUUAAGGCGGGAAGCUGGAGCCGAAGCGAAAGCGAGUCUGAAAAGGGCGACGAGUUACAUGCUGUAGACCCGAAACCGUGUGAUCUACCCAUGGCCAGGGUGAAGGUGGGGUAAAACCUACUGGAGGCCCGAACUCACUGUCGUUGAAAAGGCAGGGGAUGAGCUGUGGGUAGGGGUGAAAUGCCAAUCGAACACGGAGAUAGCUGGUUCUCCCCGAAAUAGCUUUAGGGCUAGCCUCGAUUGAUGACUUAUGGCGGUAGAGCACUGAAUAGGCUAGGGGCCUUACCAGGUUACCGAACCUUAUCAAACUCCGAAUGCCAUAAGAUUUAGAUCGGGAGUCAGACUGUGGGGGAUAAGCUUCAUAGUCGAAAGGGAAACAGCCCAGACCAUCAGCUAAGGUCCCAAAGUAUACACUAAGUGGGAAAGGAUGUGGAAUUGCACAGACAACCAGGAUGUUGGCUUAGAAGCAGCCACCAUUUAAAGAGUGCGUAAUAGCUCACUGGUCGAGUGGUUCUGCGCCGAAAAUGUAACGGGGCUCAAGUGUAUCACCGAAGCUAUGGCUUUGUCGUGGUUCGAUAUUCGUGGUUCGUAGUUCGAACGGGAAACCGCCAAGGGCGGUUGGAAGUAAACCCAUCGAACAACGUGCAUCGAAUAUCGAACCACGAUAAGGGGUAGGGGAGCGUUCUAUUAGCAGAGAAGUUAGACCGUGAGGACUAGUGGAGCGAAUAGAAGUGAGAAUGCCGGUAUGAGUAUGCGAAAAGACAAGUGAGAAUCUUGUCCGCCGAAAAUCUAAGGUUUCCUGGGGAAGGCUCGUCCGCCCAGGGUAAGUCGGGACCUAAGCCGAGGCCGAAAGGCGUAGGUGAUGGACAACUGGUUGACAUUCCAGUACCACCUAGAAAUGUUUGAGCAAUGGGGCGACACAGAAGGAUAGGUUAAGCCAACCGUUGGUUGAGUUGGCCCAAGCGAGUAGGAUGUAGGGUAGGCAAAUCCGCCCUGCGUGAGUCUGAGACGUGAUGGGGAGCGAAAAUUAGUAGCGAAGUAACCGACUCCAUGCUGUCAAGAAAAACCUCUAGUGAGUGACUAGGUGCCCGUACCGUAAACCGACACAGGUAGAUGGGGUGAGAAUCCUAAGGCGCGCGAGAAAACCCUCGUUAAGGAACUCGGCAAAAUAGCCCCGUAACUUCGGGAGAAGGGGCGCUCUUAGAAAUAAGAGCCGCAGAGAAAUGGUCCAGGCGACUGUUUAACAAAAACACAGGUCCCUGCUAAUCCGUAAGGAGAUGUAUAGGGGCUGACACCUGCCCGGUGCUGGAAGGUUAAGAGGAGAGGUUAGGGGCAACCCGAAGCUUUGAAUUGAAGCCCCAGUAAACGGCGGCCGUAACUAUAACGGUCCUAAGGUAGCGAAAUUCCUUGUCAGGUAAGUUCUGACCCG